rnacentral:hammerhead_ribozyme from 1 species
AUCCAACUGACGAGCCCCAAAUAGGAUGAAACGCGCAUCCUAGAU